rnacentral:rRNA from 1 species
UACAUGUGGGGCAAGCGUUGUUCGGAAUUACUGGGCGUAAAGCGUGCGCAGGCGGCUUCUCAAGUCAGGGGUGAAAGCCCAGAGCUCAACUCUGGAAUUGCCUUUGAGACUGAGUGGCUUGAGUACGAGAGAGGUGAGUGGAAUUCCCAGUGUAGAGGUGAAAUUCGUAGAUAUUGGGAAGAACACCGGUGGCGAAGGCGGCUCACUGGGCUCGUAACUGACGCUCAUGCACGACAGCGUGGGGAUCAAACAGG